rnacentral:rRNA from 1 species
UACAGAGGGUGCGAGCGUUGUUCGGAAUUAUUGGGCGUAAAGGGCGCGUAGGCGGCUUCGCUAGUCGGGCGUGAAAUGCCUGGGCUUAACCCGGGAAUUGCGCUCGAUACUUCGAGGCUAGAGUGUGGGAGAGGUUGGUGGAAUUCCCAGUGUAGAGGUGAAAUUCGUAGAUAUUGGGAAGAACACCGGUGGCGAAGGCGGCCAACUGGACCACAACUGACGCUGAGGCGCGAAAGCGUGGGGAGCAAACAGG